CAAAGACAGACUAAGUAUAAUCCUACUGAUAAGUGUAAUGUUUAGAUCAGAUUACCAAUAUUAUUAAUUUAUAAUGAGAAUGAUAAAGGUGGAGCAGUCUUCUUAUUUCAACUGACAUAAAUUUUGUAUGUGUGGAAUCAAUUUAUAGGAAGUCAAGAAAUAUAUGACAAAAGCAAAAAGAGUGAGCUAGAUUAUUUGAAUUAUAAUUGGCUUGAAGCUAGAACCCUUCACUAUGCCAGACUACAAAGGUAGGUCCAUGUGUAAGCACUGGUGAGAAUGACAUCUCAAACUCAGCCAAGCCUAUUUUCACUUGAUCUGCUUGUCACUUCAGCUAGCAAGCAGAGCAAAGGUCUUGUAGGCUGAAAUGGAUCAGCUGAAUCUAACACUGAGAGACCUAUUGGUUGUAUAUUCCAGAUCCUUUACCUGGGCUCCAGACUUCGACUACACAAAGGCAGAGCAGGGAUAUAUGGAGAUUAUAAAUGCUCGCUGCAGGAUGAUACCAGGAGACUGUGAAGUGGUGAGAUGGUGAAGCCACAAGUUUAAAGCAGUGUGAUUCCUCAGUCACCUCUUUGAAGUGAACAACUUAAAUCUCAUCAGACUGGGAUGUGAGCAAGAAUAAGUCUUGAUUCUAUCAAGCCAUUAAGAUCUUGAAGUUGUUUGUUUACUUCUGAAAUAUGUUUAAGGAUUUUAGUUGGCAGUAAAUUUACAUGGAUCAACUAGAAAGAUGCUUUCUAUCCUUGACUUCUCAGCAAUAUUUAACUACAAGCCCCCUUUCCUAAUAGAAACAUUCAAUUCCUUUUGCUUCUGUGGCCCAGCAUCCUCCAGGUUUUCCUCCUGUCCUGCUAGCUGCUCCUUUCUCUGCCUUUCUUUGUGUCCUCUUCCAAAGGACUAUUAAUUGUUGAGUUUCUUUUGGUUCAGUCUUCUGGCCUUUCCUCUUUUCAUUUUUUUUUUCAUGUGAUUUGGAUUACCAUCUAUAUGCGAGAAGACUCGGAAAUUUAUAUCACUACCUUAAAUGUUCUUCUGCACUCCACACACAUAAUCCAACUUCCUAAUUGAUAUUUUCUCAUGGACUUUUCAAUGACUCUUCAUACAAACCUGCACUCAGAAUUUUUCUUUCCAAAUCUGGCCCUCUUCAAUGUUUCCCACCUCAGGGAAUGGCACACCACCUAUCCAGUCACAUGAGACAGAAACCAAAAGUCCAGCAAUCCUUCCUCACCCCUGUCCACUCUUCUCCCACCUUAGCUGAUCCAUUACCAAGUCUUAUCAAUUUCCCUCCUAAAUAUUUAUCAAAUGCAUUCUCUCCCUGCUGGCUCCACCAACGAUCCUGCCAUUAUCUCUUACCCAAGCUCCUGCAAUAGCCUUUUUACUAAUCUGUGUGCAUAUGCUCUGGUGUCUCUUCAAUCCUGAUCCACUCUUCAUAGUAAUAUUUAAAAAUUAAAAACUUGUCUCUUUCCUAUUUAAAGUUCCUCAAUAGUUUUUCCAUUUGUUGUGUUAGGCUAAUGAUAAAACAUGAUUUUGACGAUCCUGCACAUUCUGGCGCCUUCUACCUCUCUGGCUCACCUCACCUCCUGCAGACUCCAUGGUUCUUUGCUCCAUUCAUACUGGACUUCCUUCCAUCCCUCAAACUUUCAUCAGGUUUUCUCCUGUGACUCCCACUGCACAUGUCCUGACACACUUCUUUCUCUUCUUAACCUAUCAAGUCUACCUUUCCUUCAGCUUCUGCUCAAGAAAGAAGCCAUUUUGAUCUCCUGAUUAGUUCAAAUCUUCCUAUAACAGGUUUUCAUAAGACUGUAUACUUUUUAUUAGGACUUGUCAUGGGUGCAAUUUUACAUCUAUUUGUGUGAUUACUUGAUACCUCUCAGUAUCCUCCACUAAACAAUAAGCUCUAAGGAAGUAGGGACAUGUUGUCUUUUGUUCGUUUUUAUCUCCAGCCUCUAAUACAGUGCCGGACAUAGAUGAGGCUCUUUCAGUGAGUAUUUGCCAAAGGAAGAAUGGUAGGAAGAUGGGAAAGAAGGGAGGAAAUAAAAUAGAAGAAGAUGAGUCCAUAUCUUCUCUAUAUUUGCCAAUUUGCACCUGGAGCAUUGGAUUAAGUUCUGGGUGCCAUAUUUUGAGAUAAAAACAAGCUGGAAUAUAUUCAGAAGAAAGGAAUCAGAAAGAUCAGGAGAGGCAAAGUUGGGAUUGAUGCAUCAAAUAGGUAAUUGGAUGCUUUUUUCAAUUUCUUCCAACCAAAAGUUUCUAAUUCAAAGAAACUACUUCAUGUUGUAAAAUAAUUUACAUAAUUCCUCUUUCACAAAUUAAGGCAUUUAAAAGGAAAACACUUUCAUGUUUGUAAAUAAUCUUUAAAAUAGUUUACUGAGAAAAAAUGCAUGAAAAAAUUCUGCAGUGUCUCUGGGCACUUAUUUUGAUUGACUGGUGCAGGCACUUUUAGCCCCCUUUCUCCUGCUUUCUAUUUCUAUUCUAAUACAACGGAAUUAUCUUUUUGCAAUAAAUUUCAUGAGUAGUCUACUGUGAACAUAUAUGUUCUAAUCAAAGAAGAUAUAGCUUAUAAUGAUUGUCAAAAUCAUUCUUUUUUAUUAUGUAGAUUUACUGCCUGAUUACUUCUAAGUGUGAUUUUUUGCCUUUUGAUACUAUUGCUUAUGUACAUGAAAUUUAGAGUUAUGGAUUAAAGAAUAUAUAACCAGAUUAGCUGCAAACUAUGAACAUUAAUAAAAGAGACUAAUAAAAUUAUAAAACUAUCUACUAUGGCUAUUUAUUGAAAAUUACAAAUUUCCUAAAAGUUGCUGAUAUUUGUUAUGUAUCAUAAGCAAUAGUUUUGACUUCCACAAUUUUUUUCAUUUGUGCUUCUCUUUUGUAAAAAUACAAAUUUUGUUUAUUAAUAUCUUUCUUUAGACCAAAACAAAUCAUUCAGUGAAGGAGGAAUUUAUGUCAGUUUCUGGAAAAAGUAUGAAGAUUAAUCCCUUCAUUAGUCAAGGAGGAAUUAUAACUGAUUUCUUCAUUUUCUUCUGCAUUAUUUCAAGCACUUCUCUUUUAUACUUCAGAAAUCCAUGAUGCCAAAUAUAUACUUCUCACAAAUUAUAAACCUUUGAAUUACAUCCCUGAGGAGUUUUCUGUUUGUUUCAACACCAAUAAAAACAGAGAAUUGAAUUACAUAUUUCUGAAUUAGGGAAGGAUAUUAAUAAUUUCAAAAGGAGGCAUUGCAUUCUGCAGCAUUUAGUUAGCCACAGUGGAACAAUAUUAAACUGGAUCUGCCUCAUUCAGUAACCAAGCGUCAGUCAGUGACCACCUUAAGGGAGCCAAGCUCUAGGGUAGAAGCUAUUGGAGUCUUGUGGCCAUGAUGUUGGAAGGAGAGGAAGGCACCCACUCUGUUUGGGAAAGAUGCCUGGGUUGGAGCAACACUCACAGGGACAUAGUCAAGGAACAAUUCUUAGAAAUCACAUAGGAUUGACCCCCAGCUCCAGACCCCAAGUAGGUAAAGGCCAAGGAUAAGACAAAUGGAAGAACUGAACCUUAGUCACUGGUAAAAUCUCAUGGGAUUGUCUUAGAGCAGAAUCCAGAUAAGCUCCACUGCUGAGGCAGACAAAAAGUUAGAUGGAGCUAGCACCACAGAGUGGAGAACAAAAUUGCUUCAAAUGAACCCUAAAUAAAUGGAAGGAACUUACAGAGUCCUCAGGUCACAUUGACAGUAUGGUCAUACGUGUAUUCCAAAAGUUAAUGAUUAAAAAAGACACACACACACACACACUUUGCCUCAGUUACAUUCAUGUAUCUUAUGAAAGCAUUCUGCAAAAUAAUGAUAAUAAAAAUUAUUUGACUAACUACCUCAGACUUUUCCCCAUUUUUGCAUAUCUAGCCAUUGGCAGCAUCUAUGCAGAACAGGGAAUGAAGAUUUCAGAUUGCUAAAAAACAUUUCUAAAAUCUCUUCUGAGAAAUAUUUUUUAAAUGCACUUUGUCAUCUUAUCUGAAUAAAUACAUUUAUAAACAUCGUUACCAGGUAGCAAGAGGUGAUUCUGUCCAAUGUUUGCAGAGAUUUUAUGGUUGGCAAAUAUAGUGUGAAAUUUGCAAAGAUAUUGGGCUAUGAGUGUGUUUACAUUGGAUAAGUAAAAAAGCCCCGCUUACCCGGUGAGCUUUAUUAAUGUAGACAGUCAAUUUGAAUAAUAUGGGCCCCAAAGUUUGCUUUUUCUUAUCAAAACUUUUAGGUCAAAACUAUUGAGAGAAUGUUUCAUCUCACAGCUCUCUUUCAUUUUUAUGGGAAGAGGUUUCAAAUUUAUGAAACACCAAAUAUUUACUACUUGACAAGAUUAAAAGAAAUUGCAUUUGAAAAUAUUUGCUGUCAGCAUACUCUAUGAUUUUUAAAAAAUUUACUAAUGAGGCUUUUAAAAAAUAACCUUGGAUCUCACAGACUUGAAGCAGUUAUAUUCUUUGCAGUAACUCUUGGGAAGCCACACAUGUAAUUAAACCCUGAGUCUAAAUCUCUAAUCACUUGGUUUUGACAACUUCUGUUUAGUGUGUUCUGCCAACAACAUAUUAAUUAGAUGUAACCCAGUGGUUUCAGGUCAUUUCAGGAAAGCAAACAGAGCUCCAGGGAUUACAUGCUAAAACUCAACUAUCUUCUUGGCUAUUUUGUAAAAUAAAGAAAGUGGAGACCUACAGUAAUUCUCAUAAAGACCAGCUAUAUGAGGAAAAAGAAGAGGUUUUGGACACAUGUAUUACCAAGAUUAUAUGUCUCUAUUAAUUGUUUACUUUGCCAGCUUAGACCUAUUCAGAGUAAUCUGCUGAGUUCCAAAGGAAAACAUAAGGGACUAAAUAAACAACUUAAAUCUUAUGAAAUAGUUUAUUUGGAGAGUACACU
rnacentral:lncRNA from 10 species